GUGGAGUUGGACCUUCCAUACGCACUAAUUUCUUGCCUUUUACCAGAGAUUACCGUGGGAUGGCCAAAAACACUCCAUUACCUCAAUCUUUGGAACCUCAUGAAUUCGAUUCACGU
rfam:Drechmeria coniospora strain ARSEF 6962 chromosome 02, whole genome shotgun sequence.